CCUAUGGGUGGCAGCAGUGAGGAAUAUUGGUCAAUGGGCGCGAGCCUGAACCAGCCAAGUAGCGUGAAGGAUGACUGCCCUACGGGUUGUAAACUUCUUUUAUAAAGGAAUAAAGUGAGGCACGUGUGCCUGUUUGUAUGUACUUUAUGAAUAAGGAUCGGCUAACUCCGUGCCAGCAGCCGCGGUAAUACGGAGGAUCCGAGCGUUAUCCGGAUUUAUUGGGUUUAAAGGGAGCGUAGAUGGGUUGGUAAGUCAGUUGUGAAAGUUUGCGGCUCAACCGUAAAAUUGCAAUUGAUACUGGCAGUCUUGAGUACAGUUGAGGUAGGCGGAAUUCGUGGUGUAGCGGUGAAAUGCUUAGAUAUCACGAAGAACUCCGAUUGCGAAGGCAGCUUACUAAACUGCCACUGACAUUGAUGCUCGAAAGUGUGGGUAUCAAACAGGAUUAGAUACCCUAGUAGUC
rnacentral:rRNA from 1 species